rnacentral:rRNA from 1 species
GCUCAGCCCUAAACCCAGGCAGUUCCACAACCCCCUGCCCGCCAGAGAAUUACAAGCGAAAAGCUCAAAACUCAAAGGACUUGACGGUGCCCCAUAUCAACUUAGAGGAGCCUGUCCUAUAAUCGAUAACCCACGACACACCCCACCUGCCCUAGAACCCCAGCCUAUAUACCGCCGCCCCACCGCGUCCACCCCCCAACAGCACCCAUAGUGGACCCAAUAGCCCACUCCGCUAACACGCCAGGUCAAGGUGUAGCUAAUGCGCAGGAAGAGAUGGGCUACACUUUCUCCCACAGAACACACCAUCAGCGCUAUGAAAACACGCCCAACAGAUGGAUUUAAUAGUAAGCUAGGCAAUGAGUGCCAGCCUGAAACCCGCCCUGGGGCGCGU